GUCCAGGGAUGGGAAUCGAACCCACAGUAUUCCGCUUACCAGGCAGGUGCCAUGUCCACUAGGCUACCCUAGA